UCCCCACGGUCGGCGCCA
rnacentral:miRNA from 1 species